UGAUCAGACUUUUUAAAAAGGCGGCGUAAGCUGUCGCUAUGGGAUGGCCCCGCGGUGCAUUUAGCUAGUUGGUAAGGUAAAGGCUUACCAAGGCGAUGAUGCAUAGCCGAGUUGAGAGACUGAUCGGCCACAUUGGGACUGAGACACGGCCCAAACUCCUACGGGAGGCAGCAGUAGGGAAUCUUCCACAAUGGACGCAAGUCUGAUGGAGCAACGCCGCGUGAGUGAAGAAGGUUUUCGGAUCGUAAAGCUCUGUUGUUGGUGAAGAAGGAUAGAGGUAGUAACUGGCCUUUAUUUGACGGUAAUCAACCAGAAAGUCACGGGCUAACUACGUGCCAGCAGCCGCGGUAAAU
rnacentral:rRNA from 1 species